UACGAAGGGGGCUAGUGUUGUUCGGAAGUACGGGGCGUAAAGCGCAUGCAGGCGGAUCGCUAAGUCGGGGGUGAAAGCCCGAGGCUCAACCUCGGAACUGCCUCCGAUACUGGCGAUCUCGAGUCCGGGAGAGGUGAGUGGAACUCCGAGUGUAGAGGUGUAAUUCGUAGAUAUUCGGAAGAACACCAGUGGCGAAGGCGGCUCACUGGCCCGGUACUGACGCUGAGAUGCGAAAGCGUGGGGAGCAAACAGG
rnacentral:misc_RNA from 1 species